rnacentral:rRNA from 1 species
GAAGGGAGCUUGCUCCCGGAUGUUAGCGGCGGACGGGUGAGUAACACGUGGGUAACCUGCCUGUAAGACUGGGAUAACUCCGGGAAACCGGAGCUAAUACCGGAUAGUUCCUUGAACCGCAUGGUUCAAGGAUGAAAGACGGUUUCGGCUGUCACUUACAGAUGGACCCGCGGCGCAUUAGCUAGUUGGUGGGGUAAUGGCUCACCAAGGCGACGAUGCGUAGCCGACCUGAGAGGGUGAUCGGCCACACUGGGACUGAGACACGGCCCAGACUCCUACGGGAGGCAGCAGUAGGGAAUCUUCCGCAAUGGACGAAAGUCUGACGGAGCAACGCCGCGUGAGUGAUGAAGGUUUUCGGAUCGUAAAGCUCUGUUGUUAGGGAAGAACAAGUGCGAGAGUAACUGCUCGCACCUUGACGGUACCUAACCAGAAAGCCACGGCUAACUACGUGCCAGCAGCCGCGGUAAUACGUAGGUGGCAAGCGUUGUCCGGAAUUAUUGGGCGUAAAGGGCUCGCAGGCGGUUUCUUAAGUCUGAUGUGAAAGCCCCCGGCUCAACCGGGGAGGGUCAUUGGAAACUGGGAAACUUGAGUGCAGAAGAGGAGAGUGGAAUUCCACGUGUAGCGGUGAAA